rnacentral:rRNA from 1 species
UACGGGGGGGGCAAGCGUUGUUCGGAAUUACUGGGCGUAAAGGGCUCGUAGGUGGCCAACUAAGUCAGACGUGAAAUCCCCCGGCUUAACCUGGGAACUGCGUCUGAUACUGGGAGGCUUGAGUAUGGGAGAGGGAUGUAGAAUUCCAGGUGUAGCGGUGAAAUGCGUAGAUAUCUGGAGGAAUACCGGUGGCGAAGGCGGCAUCCUGGACCAUAACUGACGCUGAGGCGCGAAAGCUAGGGGAGCAAACGGG